GUCUACGGCCAUACCACCCUGAAUGUGCCCGAUCUCGUCUGAUCUCAGAAGCUAAGCAGGGUCGGGCCUGGUUAGUACUUGGAUGGGAGAAAAGGAGAGGUCCUGAUGGGAAGGUUCAGAAUGGUGUGCUCC
ensembl:rRNA 5S_rRNA 5S ribosomal RNA